rnacentral:rRNA from 1 species
AUGACCAAGUCGAUGAUGCCACUGCUUGAAGGAACCAGUAACAGAAGCGACAGCAGCGGAGGAACUGGCGAUGGUGGUGGCAGCGGAAGGAACAUGAAGCCAGUCCAACUCCCAAAGACCCUGAGAAUCACGGCGGCGAGGGCCAGCCCCAACCAGAGUGUGCGUGCGACGAUCCUGGACAGAACAAGAGUCAACAUCAAGGAUGACACGACAACCAGAAUCAGUAAGUUGACCGGCAGAAAACAGAUUCAUGGUAAGUCGAGGAACAUGAGCAACAUCAGGAACAGAAUAAGAAGGAGUAGAAAGAUGGCCUCUACUAGCAACAGAAAGUGGAGUACCAUCAGCAGUGAAGACAUGAACCGGAGAAUCCAGCGAGCGAAGAGAAGACAAAGCGGAAGAAUGAGAAGACAUAUGAAAAGAAGCUCCAGAAUCUAG